CACUGACCUUUAUUUCUAUGCCACUGACAUGCCCAAAGCAAGAAAAACAAAGGCACAAAGGCGGCUGUUUGGUAGUGAACAAAGCUGCCGGGAAGCCUUGGCUGCCGCUGAAGAGGAUGCAACCGGCAGGAUGACAAGGAUCCUCCAGAGGCUGACAGAGGAGGGCAGGGUAGAAGAUACCCUUCGGAGCAUCCUCCAACAGUACCCGUCCUUGGCAGCCCAGGUGGAGGCGGGCCUACAGGGCGAAACUCCAGCCGAUCCACCGACAGGCCGACAGCCAGAGACAGCCCUCGCUUGGUGCAUCUGCGGAAGUUAUGUUACCUUGUAACUUGAUGCUGUGCAACCGAUUCAUUAUUUGGGAGAAUGAAUUAAGGCAACUGGUUCUGAAAUCUGAAACAAGGCAAUGUAGUGCAAAUGUUCAUGCAAUGUUGACUGUUAACGUUCGCCAAAAAGAAAAUAAUGUGUAAUGAGCGCAAAAUUACAGUAAAAAAAAAUUGGAAAAAUUAUAACCAUACUUAUAAUUGAUGACUGAUGUACCAUUACAGGUGUGCCGACAUGCCCACUGCAGAAGAGCGGCGCUGCUGUGGUGACGAACGCUGCCUCACGGAAGAUCCACAAGUAAAACUGGUGGCUCUCACAGAGGCUACCGUUGCCGCGGCGAUGAUUUAUCAUUCUGAGACGAGGGGCAUUCCCAUCAGACGUGUGGAGGAGGACCCCGAGCCUGGGGCGCUGAAUCGGGCCCGCCGCCAUCAGGCGUACAGACAGUUCACCAUGUGGCGGUAACGCAUACCAUUCCCUUGCAGACCUCAGUCACUGGAAUUAGAAAAAAAAACAUAACCUUGGCCUCGAUCCGUAUACUGGUGUACAGCAAUUAAAAUAGAGCACAAUUGUUACUAUCUCCACGCUUGGUAGAGUUCUUUGGUGUUGCUGUUUCUAAAGGGGUCGAAAAGGUGGUUCGAUAUAUCAUCUGACAGGUGUAUCGCUGUUACGUUACCAAACUUGCUUAACCAUUGUAAACACCGGUG